rnacentral:lncRNA from 1 species
UUAUAAUUUGCAGGCAAAGUCAUUGAUUCGUAAAGGAGAUGUGAUAAGCAUCAUAGAUCCUUCACUAGCAGAAAAGGUCAAAAUUGAAUCUGUAUGGAGGAUUGCAGAAGUCGCAAUCCAAUGUGUCGAACAACACGGAGCUUCGAGACCUAGGAUGCAGGAAAUUAUUUUGGCUAUACAGGAUGCAAUCAAGAUUGAAAAAGGGUGUGAUAAAAUAACUUCAGGAAGCGCAAAAUCACGAUCUUCCCGCAGAACACUACUAACGAGCUUUCUUGAUAUUGAAAGCCCCGACUUAUCUAAUCCAUCGCUAGUCCCAUCCGCUAGAUAACCAUCUAGUUCACCUCAUUUUACACUUUUUUAGUAAGAUUAUAAUUAGUAUACAUUGUUGUCUUUUUCUUUUUCUUCUUCUUCAAUUUCUUUUUGCUGAGAGUUGUUACACUUCUAGCUGAAAUUCCUGUACCACGUCAUUAAACUUCGGGCUUGUUAGUGGCUUUAGCUUAUUUGGUACAUUUGGAAUGCACCAUUUUAGACCCCAAACAAUGCGUUUCUAAGUUAAAUAAGCUGCAUUUGGAAAUUGUCUUUGUAAACUGAACAAGAUUUUCAGGUGCUCUUGGCCUCCAAAACCCAAACCAAAUAUGCACUUAAAACAAAUUUGACUUCCAAUUAAGUUAAAUCUUUUCAUGUGUAUACUUGUAUUUAUUGAGGAUAUAUUAAAUUUUGGAAUUUGACAGAUAUUUCGAACAAAAAUUGACAAAUGAAGCUUCAUGGUUAAAAUUAAAAUGCAGAAAAUUUGCAUACCGGUGCAAAUUAUGUAGGCGUGUAUAUAUAUAUAAAGGCAACAAUGAGUUAGUGAGAAAGGAAAUGUGCUAUGAAGAUCGAGUAACAAAGCUUACAGAUGAGGAAUAGGAGGAAUUCACCUUUGCCGGCACAAAUCUUACGCCCUUUCCUUUCUUUCGCCGGAGACUGGAGUACUUGCCUUCGUUUCUUUUAUUUUCUAUCCUCUCGUCUCAAUUGCUUAAUUUUUUUUUCAAGUUGCAGUGAUAAUCUCAUAGUAAUAAUUAUGCAACGACAAGUAUUCGAAAAUUUAAAAUAUUAGAAUAUUAGAAUACAUUUAAAAAUAUUAUUAAAAAUAUUUAUUUUGAUAGUAUAAAUAUUAUUUUGUAAAAGUCAACUUUCAAAAUUAAUGUAAAAUCAUAUUAUUUUAUUUUUUUAAGUAAUAAAAAAAAAGAUCACAUUACAUUAUAUAUUACAAUUCAUAUAUACUAUCUAUACUCCUACUAUAAUGUAAAAUGACAACUACCAAAAUUUUAAAUUAUGUUUGUGCCUUACACGCGGGUUAUCAAUCUAAUCUUGUAAAAGAGGGAUAUAUUUGAAUAUUAANNNNNNNNNNNNNNNNNNNNNNNNNNNNNNNNNNNNNNNNNNNNNNNNNNNNNNNNNNNNNNNNNNNNNNNNNNNNNNNNNNNNNNNNNNNNNNNNNNNNAAGUAUGCUCGUUUAUGAAUACAUGCACAACGGAACUUUGCGGGAUCACAUACAUGGUAUUCAUCUAUAAACCUACCAUAAUUCUGUCUAGUCAUUAGUACAGAGUCAAAGAAAAAUUAAUGACAUAAAAUUUGAUGACAGAUUAUUGCAAUCAGAAGCACUUGGACUGGCAAGCUCGUCUUUAUAUUGCAGAAGAUGCAGCUAAAGGUUUAUACCUGAUUUCUCUGUUGUUCAUGUAGCUAUAAAUUUUAAGAUCAAGAGAGUAGCUGAAACUUGAUCUUUUUAGGCCUUGAAUACUUACACUCUGGAUGCAACCCAAGUAUCAUUCACCGCGAUGUAAAAACAAGCAAUAUUCUCCUAGAUAUCAAUAUGAGGGCAAAAGUAUCUGAUUUUGGACUUUCAAGGCAAACUGAAGAAGAUCUAACCCAUAUAUCAAGUGUGGCUCGAGGAACUGUUGGCUACCUUGAUCCUGGGUAAGCCAUAUCAUGUGAUCUCAUACACUCAUCUGUUCCCUUAUGCCUAGCUUGACUGAGUAUAUCUCUACAACAGGUACUUUGCAAAUCAGCAAUUAACUGAAAAAAGUGAUAUUUAUAGUUUUGGGGUCGUUCUUUUAGAACUGGUCUCAGGAAGAAAGCCUGUGUCAACAGAAGAUUAUGGCACUGAAUGGAAUAUUGUUCACUGGGUAAGCAUGCUACCAUUUCUUUAUUCAUAAUUUUCAACAUUUGGUAACUUUUCCUAAAGCUAAAAUAAAUCCCGAUAGCCAAAAAAAUAUAUGAGAGAUGCAUAAGUCUAUUAAAGACCAUAAUCUGGUUUAUUAAAGACCAUGCCAGGCAAUAUAGCAAAACGUCUAGAAGGUAAGAUGUAUACAGCUUAGGCAAGAAUUAUAGGAUAGGGGUUUGUUUAAAUUAGAAAAAAAAUGAUCCUACAAGAUGGUUUAUUCAAGCUCUAAGAGGUAGCUUAUAUGAUAAAUAACAUCACAAUAUGUAUUCAUGGGAGACUAUUGGUUAUAUUAUCCUUGCUCUACUAGGCACUAGGUAUACUAUAUAGUUAAGGUGUAAUGUAGGUGAGUGGGUGAUUGCUUGUGUCUCUGUCUGGACACAGAAAGUGAAUGGCAAUGCCAAACUAAGAUAGUAUAGUGCAACAGGCAGACUACAACACUAAAAUAAUUGAAAAUGUAAAACUUAUCUAGUAAACCAUAUGCCUGCUAGAAUGUUUUUUAUAUUGGUUCUCAUAAUGACUAAAUCCCAUGAACUAUGAAUUUACAUCAAAAUCCAAAACAUUAAGAUUUACUGUACCUACACAAAACAUUAAUAGUAAAAAUAAUAAUAAUUAAUAAUUCCACCGAGAUCGGAGGGGAUACAUAUUCUUCUAAAAUGAUUAAUGUGCUUCAAUACUAGCUUAAACAGUAAGCAAAUUACAAAACAAAAUAUUAUAAAUCAAAUAUGAUAGCCAUGAAUAAUUUUUUCACACUCUUGAGUUACAUGCUGAUAAAUCAUCAUUUUAUAAUUUGCAGGCAAAGUCAUUGAUUCGUAAAGGAGAUGUGAUAAGCAUCAUAGAUCCUUCACUAGCAGAAAAGGUCAAAAUUGAAUCUGUAUGGAGGAUUGCAGAAGUCGCAAUCCAAUGUGUCGAACAACACGGAGCUUCGAGACCUAGGAUGCAGGAAAUUAUUUUGGCUAUACAGGAUGCAAUCAAGAUUGAAAAAGGGUGUGAUAAAAUAACUUCAGGAAGC